rnacentral:rRNA from 1 species
UUUAUUUGGAGAGUUUGAUCCUGGCUCAGCGCGAACGUUGGCGGCGUGCCUA